rnacentral:rRNA from 1 species
UCAGGUGGUUAUAGCACGAGGGUUCCACCUCUUCCCAUUCCGAACACAGAAGUUAAGCCUCGUCACGCCGAUGGUACUGCGUAACAGUGGGAGAGUAGGUAGCCGCCGUUU